UACGUAGGGUGCAAGCGUUAAUCGGAAUUACUGGGCGUAAAGCGUGCGCAGGCGGUGAUGUAAGACAGGUGUGAAAUCCCCGGGCUUAACCUGGGAACUGCAUUUGUGACUGCAUCGCUGGAGUGCGGCAGAGGGGGAUGGAAUUCCGCGUGUAGCAGUGAAAUGCUUAGAGAUGACAUAGAACACCUAUUGCGAAGGCAGCUUACUACGCAGAUAUUGACGCUCAUGCACGAAAGCGUGGGGAUCAAACAGG
rnacentral:rRNA from 1 species